rnacentral:rRNA from 1 species
UAGGGAUUCUUCCGCAAUGGACGCAAGUCUGACGGAGCAACGCCGCGUGAGUGAAGAAGGAUUUCGGUUCGUAAAACUCUGUUGUUAGAGAAGAACAGCGCAUAGAGUAACUGUUAUGCGUGUGACGGUAUCUAACCAGAAAGCCACGGCUAACUACGUGCCAGCAGCCGCGGUAAUACGUAGGUGGCAAGCGUUGUCCGGAUUUAUUGGGCGUAAAGCGAGCGCAGGCGGUCAAUUAAGUCUGAUGUGAAAGCCCCCGGCUCAACCGGGGAGGGUCAUUGGAAACUGGUUGACUUGAGUGCAGAAGAGGAGAGUGGAAUUCCAUGUGUAGCGGUGAAAUGCGUAGAUAUAUGGAGGAACACCAGUGGCGAAGGCGACUCUCUGGUCUGUAACUGACGCUGAGGCUCGAAAGCGUGGGUAGCAAACAGG